rnacentral:misc_RNA from 1 species
GAUGAAGAACGUAGCGAAAUGCGAUAAGUAAUGUGAAUUGCAGAAUUCAGUGAAUCAUCGAAUCUUUGAACGCACAUUGCGCCCCUUGGUAUUCCGAGGGGCAUGCCUGUUCGAGCGUCAUUAUAACCCUCAAGCUCAGCUUGGUGUUGGGGCCUGCUGCACUGGCAGCCCUUAAAAUCAGUGGCGGCGCCAUCUGGCUCUAAGCGUAGUAAUUCUUCUCGCUAUGGAGUCCUGGUGGAUGCUUGCCAUCAACCCCCAAUUUUUCUAUGGUUGACCUCGGAUCAGGUAGGGAUACCCGCUGAACUUAAGCAUACAAUAAGCGGAGGA